rnacentral:rRNA from 1 species
UACGUAGGGGGCAAGCGUUGUCCGGAAUCAUUGGGCGUAAAGAGCGCGUAGGCGGCCCAGUAAGUCCGCUCUGAAAGUCAGAGGCUCAACCUCUGAAUGCGUGUGGAUACUGCUGGGCUAGAGUCCGGAAGAGGCGAGUGGAAUUCCUGGUGUAGCGGUGAAAUGCGCAGAUAUCAGGAGGAACACCGAUGGCGAAGGCAGCUCGCUGGGACGGUACUGACGCUGAGGCGCGAAAGCGUGGGGAGCAAACAGG